rnacentral:rRNA from 1 species
GAUGAACGCUGGCGGCGUGCCUAAUACAUGCAAGUCGAGCGAACGGACGAGAAGCUUGCUUCUCUGAUGUUAGCGGCGGACGGGUGAGUAACACGUGGAUAACCAACCUCUAAGACUGGGAUAAUUUCGGGAAACCGGAGCUAAUACCGGAUGAUAUUUUGAACCGCAUGGUUCAAAAGUGAAAGACGGUCUUGCCGUCACUUAUAGAUGGUGCCGCGCUGCAUUAGCUAGUUGGUAAGGUAACGGCUUACCAAGGCAACGAUGCAUAGCCGACCUGAGAGGGUGAUCGGCCACACUGGAACUGAGACACGGUCCAGACUCCUACGGGAGGCAGCAGUAGGGAAUCUUCCGCAAUGGGCGAAAGCCUGACGGAGCAACGCCGCGUGAGUGAUGAAGGUCUUCGGAUCGUAAAACUCUGUUAUUAGGGAAGAACAUAUGUGUAAGUAACUGUGCACAUCUUGACGGUACCUAAUCAGAAAGCCACGGCUAACUACGUG